AUUCAAAUCCGUGGCUCUCAUUUAAGACCAGUGGUUCUCAAAUUUUUAUCAGAAUCAAACACAUACAACAGAAAUCCUUAAAGCAACAGGUGUCUGGACCCCAAAUGACAUUUUUUUUUUUUAAAUCCAGUAGGUCAGCAAUGAAUUCGUAGUGAUUUGAAUAAGAAAGCUCCUCAUAAGCCUGGAUAUUUGAAUACUUAGUCCCCAGUGGGUGGUUCUGUUUGAGAGGAUUAGGUAGUGCAGGAAGUUCGUCACUGGGGGUGGGCUUUGAGAUUAGUGCCACUUCCAGAGGAAGUAUGUCACUGGGCUUUGGGGUUAGUCCCACUUCUAAUUCUACUCUCUGCUUCAUAGUUUAGAUUAAGGAUGUAACUCUUAGCUUCCUGUUCUAGCCAUCAUGCCUCCUGCUGUGAUGGACUCAGCCCUUUGGAACCAUAAGCCCAUGCAAACCCUUUCUUCCAUAAGUUGCCUUGGUGUGUUUUAUGACAACAGGAAAAUAAUAUAGUAUUUCAAACUGUCUUUGGGAGAUCCUGAUGCCAAACCAGACUCUAUACUGUGAGCAAGUCUGGAUCGCAGCCAAAGGAAUCUUACCCUUCUUGUAUAGGUGUCAAGAAGCCAGGGAGACUCCUGGAGCUGCGAAAUGGCUGGGGUAUAUGAAAGGGAGAAGGUCCUGCUUCAGUCAGACUCUCUUGGUUUCCUUUUCAUUUACUGGGAUCAAAUAUUCAGACAAAAACCCAACUUACUCAGCUUAUAAUUCUGGAUACAGUCCAUCAUGGGGUGGGGGAUGGGUGACACAACAGCGGGAGCUCAAGGGACCAUUAUUCACACUGCGUUCAUAACUAGGAACAGAGAGGAAAGACUGUGCAUUCUAGAACUUCACUCUCAGUCUAGGAUCCUCUUCCUAGGGAUUGGUGCCACCCAUAGUGGGAUAGUCUUCAAACCUCAACCUAAUCAAAAAAAAAAAAA
rnacentral:lncRNA from 1 species